ensembl:snRNA U6 U6 spliceosomal RNA
GUGCUGGCUUCAGAAGCACAUAUACUAAAAUUGGAACAAUACAGAGAAGAUCAACAUGGCCCUUGCACAAGGAUAACAUGCAAAUCUGUGAAGUGUCCCAUUUUUUU